CUCUCUUUCAGUUCUUUGAUUCUCUCGAUUGACGGCUAAUUCUAGAUAGUUUUUCUAUUUUUCGACCAUAUUUUUUUUCCUUGUUUAUGCUUGAUUUGUUGUUGAAAUCGCAGCAUUUUUUCAGCAAUUUUAAGUAAGUGAUUUUCUGCUAAUUUUGUGUCUGCUUGCCUAUUUGACUACUGCAUUUAGUUAGGAACUUAGGAAUUGGCGUGGCUGGAAGCCUGGAAUUUGUUAUUGUGAAUCUGUUAUUGAAUAUUUGAAUCGGCCAUACUUUUGCCUUCUCUUGUUUAAACUCUAGAAAUACCGUUGUUAUAUUGGCCUUGCAUUUGCCUCAAAUUUUGAGUUAAAUAUUUUAAUUAUUCGAUUAUUGAAUUGUGCUAUUUUUUAUUUGUGUAUCUUAGAAUUUAGGAUGAAACAACAACUUUUUGCAAAGAAAGAAAAAAUAUUAUUAUCUUUUUUCAGAAGGAGAGAUCAUCACACUAGUGAAAGUACUUGAAUUCAUAGUGAGCAAGAUCAAUCUAGCACAAGUUUAAUGAAUUUUUUGUUUCAAAAUUUCGUCAAGCACAAGUUUAGUGAAAAUUUAUUGUACUGAUUUUUUGAUUACAUAAAAUUUUUAUUACAUUAACUUUUUAAAUUUCAGCCCCCCCAACCUAAAUUCCUGGAUCCGCCCCUGCCUCGUCGAGCAAUGGUGCUUGCUCUGUGUCAGUGGUGCUCGGUGUUGGUGCGGUGGUGCUCCGCGCUCGCUGUCGGUGGUGCUCGGUUUCAUGUUGGGCCUACCAAAAUAGGAGCAUAAAAGUAGUUAUGGGUCUACGUGGCUGACUUAAGGAUUGAUGAUUACUUAAAUAGAAUCAAAUAAAAUAAAUCACCACCAUGACCACAACAUUGAGAGUUUGGUGACGGUACAAGGAAAACUUCUGAAAUUGCGACAAAAGCAAGUGUAAAAGCUCAAAAACGAAUAGAAAUGUGGAGGCGUGCAGUGUUGACAAGUGCUGCUAAAUGUGCUCUACAACUGCAGUGUAUGAUACUGUCUCGGCGGUCCUCAUCAUCAACAAGCAGGUCCUCAUCAUGGACAAGCAUUUCCUCUGCUGUGAACUCCAUCUUGCUCCGCUCCCUCAAAGAGCACUACCUUGAAAUCUCUAAAAUGACUCCUCCCCCGAAGGUGAACCCUCCAUCGCCUUUUACAAUUGUGAAAGGAUCACUUGAAAGCAGUGGUCCAGUUUUAAAAAGGGCAUAUGGCGAAGAGGAGAUCAGUCUAUAUGUUAUGCGAUUGGCUAACAUUAUUCCUGGUGGUGGAGAUGAUGAUACUGGUGAUGAUGGGAUUAACCAGUUGUUUCUUCAUGUGGAUAUCUCAAAGCCUAGUCAGAAAGACGCUUUGCAUUUUCUAUGCGGGUUGUACCCUGAUGCACUUGGUAUUCACUCUAUCUCAUUGAGGCCCAAGCUUGAGACUUCUGGUUUUCUUAUGGUUCCAACGAAAUAUAAUGGCCCCCUUUUCCAAGAUCUUGAUGAAAAGAUGAGAGAUGCACUACAUAGUUACAUUGAAGAGCGAGGUAUAAAUGAGAGCCUUUUUCCAUUUCUUCAAGCUUGGCUUUAUGUUAAGGAUCACAAGAAUCUGAUGCGUUGGUUCAAAUCAGUUGGCACAUUCAUUCAUGAGCACAAGAAAGUUUUAGAUUCUAAUGCUGUUUAAGAGAUCUUGAUGAAAAGAUGAGAGAUGCACUACAUAGUUACAUUGAAGAGCGAGGUAUAAAUGAGAGCCUUUUUCCAUUUCUUCAAGCUUGGCUUUAUGUUAAGGAUCACAAGAAUCUGAUGCGUUGGUUCAAAUCAGUUGGCACAUUCAUUCAUGAGCACAAGAAAGUUUUAGAUUCUAAUGCUGUUUAAGUCUAUGCCUGCUUUGGUUCCCAUCAAGCUUUGAAACAAUUGGAUCAUUCCUAUUACCAUCUAUUUGUGAUUGGUAUAAGCUUCUUCUCUAUCUUGUUAUUGAUUAAAGCUUUCAUUUAGAAUCUUACAUGUAUAGAAUCACCAAAGUGUUUGUGUACCCUUGGGUGACAACCUAAUUAUUGAAAUGAGAAUUGAUGUUUUCUGUGUUGUAUUUGCACCU